AUUGAACGCUGGCGGCAUGCUUUAUACAUGCAAGUCGUGCGGCAGCGCGGGGGCAACUCUGGCGGCGAGCGGCGAACGGGUGAGUAAUACAUAGGAACGUAUCCUGAAAUGGGGGAUAGCUCGGCGAAAGCCGGAUUAAUACCGCAUACGCUCCACGGAGGAAAGCAGGGGAUCGCAAGACCUUGCGUUUCUGGAGCGGCCUAUGUCUGAUUAGCUAGNGGCGGGGUAAUAGCCCACCAAGGCGACGAUCAGUAGCUGGUCUGAGAGGAUGAUCAGCCACACUGGGACUGAGACACGGCCCAGACUCCUACGGGAGGCAGCAGUAGGGAAUUUUGGACAAUGGGGCAACCCUGAUCCAGCCAUGCCGCGUGAGUGAAGAAGGCC
rnacentral:rRNA from 1 species